rnacentral:rRNA from 1 species
GAUGGACGCUGGCGGCGUGCCUAAUACAUGCAAGUCGAACGAGGUCUUCGGACCUAGUGGCGAACGGGUGAGUAACACGUUGGUACCUACCCCGAAGUGGGGAAUAACUGCCCGAAAGGGUGGCUAAUACCGCAUAAUACCGCAAGGUUAAAGCAGUAAUGCGCUUCGGGAGGGGCCUGCGUCCCAUUAGCUAGUUGGUAGGGUAAUGGCCUACCAAGGCGACGAUGGGUAGCUGGAUCGAGAGGUUGACCAGCCACACUGGGACUGAGAUACGGCCCAGACGCCUACGGGAGGCAGCAGUAAGGAAUCUUCCACAAUGGACGAAAGUCUGAUGGAGCAACGCCGCGUGCAGGAUGACGGCCUUCGGGUUGUAAACUGCUUUUAUACGGGAAGAUUAUGACGGUACCGUAUGAAUAAGGACCGGCUAACUACGUGCCAGCCGCCGCGGUAA